rnacentral:rRNA from 1 species
AGAGUUUGAUCCUGGCUCAGGAUGAACGCUAGCGGCAGGCUUAAUACAUGCAAGUCGUACGGGAUCCGAGAUAGCAAUAUCUUGGUGAGAGUGGCGCACGGGUGCGUAACACGUAUGCAACCUACCUAUAACCGGGACACAACCUCGAGAAAUUGUGGCUAAUAUCCCAUAACACUGCGAAGUGGCAUCAUUUUGCGGUUAAAACUCCGGUGGUUAUAGAUGGGCAUGCGCGACAUUAGCUAGUUGGUGAGGUAACGGCCCACCAAGGCUACGAUGUCUAGGGGUUCUGAGAGGAUUAUCCCCCACACUGGUACUGAGACACGGACCAGACUCCUACGGGAGGCAGCAGUAAGGAAUAUUGGUCAAUGGGCGCAAGCCUGAACCAGCCAUGCCGCGUGAAGGAUGACGGCCCUAUGGGUUGUAAACUUCUUUUGUACGGGAAAAAACCACCGGUCGUGUAUCGGUGCUGAUGGUACCGUAAGAAUAAGCAUCGGCUAACUCCGUGCCAGCAGCCGCGGUAAUACGGAGGAUGCAAGCGUUAUCCGGAUUCAUUGGGUUUAAAGGGUGCGCAGGCGGAAUAAUAAGUCAGCGGUGAAAGCCUACAGCUUAACUGUAGAACUGCCAUUGAUACUGUUAUUCUUGAGUGUUGUUGAGGUAGGCGGAAUGUGUCAUGUAGCGGUGAAAUGCUUAGAUAUGACACAGAACACCGAUCGCGAAGGCAGCUUACCAAGCAACAACUGACGCUCAUGCACGAAAGCGUGGGGAUCAAACAGGAUUAGAUACCCUGGUAGUCC